rnacentral:rRNA from 1 species
AUAGAACGCUGACGACACGCUUAUCACAAGAAAGUCGAGCAGCGCGGCGGACGGGCGAGUCAUGCCUAGGAAUCUGCCUGGUCGUGGGGGAUAACGUCCGGACACGGGCCCUAAUACCGCAUCCUAUCAGAUGAGCCGAGGUCGGAUUAGCUAGUUGGUGGGGUAAAGGCCUACCAAGGCGACGAUCCGUAACUGGUCUGAGAGGAUGAUCAGUCACACUGGAACUGAUAUAUUGUCCAGACUCCUACGGGAGGCAGCAGUGUGGAAUAAUGGACUAUGGUCGGAAGCCUGAGCCAGGCAUACGGCGUGUAGGAUGAAGGUAUGCGGAAUAUAGAUCAUUCAAAAUUGUGAGGCGUUACCACCAGAAUAACCACCGGCUAUCUCCGUGCCAGCAGCGCGGUAAUAC